rnacentral:lncRNA from 1 species
CAAAAGUUCUCUACUAUUCACUAACCUCAACCGCUUUCCACUCUAUUUUCUUUGACAAAGGCACUUUAUACUCCACCUACGUUUAGUUUUUUUGUCGUGUAGCACGUGGUUUAUGAUUGUGCUAACUAAUAAGCACUUUUCACUUUUUGAAUUAUAAAAAGCCCUUCUAUCAUAUUUCCUCCUCAAAGCCAACCAAAACCUUCUCUAUUAAGAAUAAUCCAAUAAUUAACAAACUCUCUAUUUCUCUCUCUCUAUAUGAAAUAUGGCUGAAGAAGUUAGAAAAGAUGAAGAGAAUAUUAAUAAUCAAGGGAUUAAGCUAUUUGGCACAACAAUAAAACUACAUGGUGAGGAAUCAAAAGAAGGAGAAAAAGAAAGCGAAGAUCNNNNN